rnacentral:lncRNA from 1 species
UUUUUAUUAUUUUUAGAAGAAAAGGAAAAGGCUUUUAGCAUAAGGCCUACACGAACGGUCGCACGUGUGCUUUAAACCUUUAAAACGUAUUUUUUUGAUUAUUUUUUUUAUGAUUUAUAUAUAUAUAUAUAUAUAUUUUUAUUUUUAUUAACAAACAAUAAUAAAAGAAAUUCUAAAAGUACAGAAAUAAAAGCAAAGACAAUAAAAAAAACAUUACAUUCUAAUAGACCCAAUAGAAAUAGGGUACAAAGAUUAAAAACCAGGGGUGCUGAACAAAAUUGAGACUCUUCUGGUUUAAGCCCAAGCCCUUCCUCCAACUUUGUAGACUGUUAGUGUUAGGGGUGUAUGGCCAAAAAUGGGGCUGCAACCCGAAAUUGCAUGCUCAGGCCCAAUCCUUCUUUUCUUUUGUUUGCAGGAACGAAAUGGGCUACAACCCAAAUGAAUUGGGGGUGUAACGGUCAAAUUUAGGAAUGGCGUAGAGAAAAUUUUGAGGCUUUCUGAUUUGGGCCCGAAGCUCUUUUUCUUCAAACUUAGAAACCACUAGGGUUUCUUUCUACAUCCUCUUUCUACAACGUGCAAGACCAAGGGAACGACCAAAGGUUCUCUCGCCGAACACUCUUCACCACUAAUAGCUACCAGCAUUGACAUUGGUGACCCUCGCAACUUCGUCACGCAGCUCGGGGCCUUCAGCCAUCCUACAUCGAUGCUCAUGCUCAUGCCCUGUGCAACCUAUCCUCCUUUCCCCUUUGAAAGGUGCGACCCAUGAGGAUCAGGAACUGUCAUUCCUAACCUCGGCGAACUCCACACUAUCGUCGUCGCCAAGACUGUCGACGAAGUUACUCACCGUAAGAAUGCCAUCGCUCUUCGCCGCGGCUUAACCUUUUUAUUCUCACCCGUGCCCCCCUCCAAUGCAGAGAGCUAACGCCUAUACGUUGUCGACAACACCGGCCUCCAUCAGAAAAGUCGACUCAAACCUUUCGCUUUCCCCUCUCUGAUUCGACUCAAUGGCCGCCCCUCGUCAUUGCGACUAUUAUUUCUCUUCUCCCCUUUUUCUGUGCUUUGAUCGAGUUUGGGUUUUUGGGUUUUUUGGUGGUUAUGGUUGAAUAUUGUGUUAACUUAGCUUAUGGCUUGCUGAAAUUUCUCUAACAGAGAGAAUUUGAAAUAGGAAGAGGAUGAAUCUCUUGGGGUUCCACUCUCUAUCAUUUUUCUCGUGCUUCCAAUGGAUUCCCUUUUUUUGCUAUUGGCUUUACUUUUUGUUCUCUGUUGUAUGUGAAUGGUAGUUGUAGAUAAUGGUUGAGAAUUGGGUGAGGGGCCCAUCUAUUGCAGGUGAGGAAUUGGGAACUAAAAAGGAAAAAAAUUUGAUUGGCUGGUUACGGGUGAUGAGGGCGUGAGGAUGGUGUGGUUUUUUGACUAAGGGAAAUGGAAAAGAAGGAUGAGCGAUCGGUCAAGGUAUAAACUGAAAUGAAGAAGUUGGUAGGGUGUUGGAGGGUGACCAAAGGUAUGGAGCGAGUAUUGCGGAAGAACGAUACUGACGUGGGGAGGACAAUGGCAUUGAUGAGCGAGUAUUCUGGAACAAGCCACUAACGUGGUGAGGUGGUUAUAGGCGAGAGGCGGAUGUUACAAGAUAUGGUAUAACAGUUACAAAGGAAGUUAAGGCCCAUUUAUGGGCCUUAUCUCUAUAAAUACGGACAAGUUAAACAAGGUAGACUCUCUGAACUAAUUAUCGAUAUUUUUACCCUAGUUGUGACCUGGCUGACUUGAGCGUUGGAGUGCUAACGUACAUG